rnacentral:rRNA from 1 species
AGUGAACGCUGGCGGUAGGCCUAACACAUGCAAGUCGAACGGCAGCACAGUAAGAGCUUGCUCUUACGGGUGGCGAGUGGCGGACGGGUGAGGUAUACAUCGGAAUCUACUUUUUCGUGGGGGAUAACGUAGGGAAACUUACGCUAAUACCGCAUACGACCUACGGGUGAAAGCAGGGGAUCUUCUGACCUUGCGCGAUUGAAUGAGCCGAUGUCGGAUUAGCUAGUUGGCGGGGUAAAGGCCCACCAAGUCGACGAUUCGUAGCUGGUCUGAGAGGAGGGUCGGCCACAUUGGAAGUUGGCCACGGUCCAGAGUACUACGGGAGGGAGCAGUGGGGAAUAGUGGGCAGUGGUGGGAAACCUGGUCCAGUCAUCGCGAGUGUGUGAAGAAGGCGUUCGGGUUGUAAAGCCCGUUUUUGGGGAAAGAACAGCAGCAGGUUAAGACCCCGCGGUUCUGACGGUACCCAAAGAAGAAGCACCGGCUAACUUCGUG